GUGCCAGCAGCCGCGGUAAUACGUAGGAUGCAAGCGUUGUCCGGAAUUAUUGGGCGUAAAGAGAACGUAGGUGGCUUGUUAAGUUCGGUCUUAAAGACCGGGGCUCAACCCCGGGAAUGGACUGAAAACUGGCAGGCUAGAGGAUGUCAGAGGAUGGUGGAAUUCCAAGUGUAGCGGUGAAAUGCGUAGAUAUUUGGAGGAACACCUGUGGCGAAAGCGGCCAUCUGGGACAUUCCUGACACUGAGGUUCGAAAGCUCGGGGAGCAAACAGGAUUAGAUACCCUGGUAGUCC
rnacentral:rRNA from 1 species